ACGCACGCUGGCGGCAUGCCUCACACCUGCAAGUCGCACGCGACCUUCGGGUCUAGUGGCGCACGGGUGCGUAACGCGUGGGAACCUGCCCUUAGGUUCGGAAUAACUCCCCGAAAGGGGUGCUAAUACCGGAUAAUGUCUUCGGACCAAAGAUUUAUCGCCUUUGGAUGGGCCCGCGUUGGAUUAGCUAGUUGGUAGGGUAAAAGCCUACCAAGGCGACGAUCCAUAGCUGGUCUGAGAGGAUGAUCAGCCACACUGGGACUGAGACACGGCCCAGACUCCUACGGGAGGCAGCAGUGGGGAAUAUUGGACAAUGGGCGAAAGCCUGAUCCAGCAAUGCCGCGUGAGUGAUGAAGGCCUUAGGGUUGUAAAGCUCUUUUACCCGGGAUGAUAAUGACAGUACCGGGAGAAUAAGCUCCGGCUAACUCCGUG
rnacentral:rRNA from 1 species